GCUCCCAUCACCUCCCAACAGCGCUGCCUGCUGGGGACCAAGCCUUCAGCCCAAGAGGCUUUGAGGUCUCUCCAGAUCCACAGGACCGCGCCAGGCCUGCUGGGAGAAUGCGUGUCUGUGCCCGGCCACAGGCUGCCAGCGGGGAGGGCACUGCCAGAGGCAGAGCUGUGCGUCCAGGGGCAGUUUCUGUGCAGCCGAGCAGAGCUGCAGACAGCUGUGAUGGGCCCCGGCCUAAGAGCCCCCGUCUCUGCUGGGCCUCGUGGCUCCUAGGAGUCCUCAGUUUCAUCAGUG
rnacentral:lncRNA from 1 species